GAAAAUCUAUUGAACCAUUUAUCGUAAACGGGCAGCGUCUAAAACAUUAUCAUUAUGCUGAGAACAAUGAAGACUCGCAAGUCCUGCACUUAGACGUAAUGUCUUCAGAAUUUAUAGAUUAACAUUUAAUAGUUUUAUGUCGAGCUUGCGAUAUUAAACAAAGCGCUCCGUGGGAGACAACCCACAAAUUUUUAUUUUUAUUUCUUCUUUGAUUAUUCCUUUUUAUUUUUUAUUUUUUUUAGUUUUCAUUCUCCGUAUUCUUUAUUUUAAUUAAAUUUCUCUUCUUUUCUUCUUUCAACAUUUGGCCAAAUCCUGACUAAAACUCUUGUUUUUCUUUUCUUUAGUUAACUCUAACCUGAUGGUACAUAUUGACCGCAUGGGUAUCAAAUUCAGAGGGAGAGCU
rnacentral:lncRNA from 1 species